AUUGAAAUCUUGGCACUUUGUGAUAAACAAGUGGGUUUUGGGUUACAGUUUGGGCACUUAGUCUCUACAAGGUUCGCCAUCACUGCUCUCGUGUUUUUGGUUAGACACCUAGAUAUCCCCAUUCCAGCCAUAAUCUGCAAUGCUGCAGAGACAUCGACACCACUAAGAGGACCCUCCAUGUGUCCCCCUGGCUGGUUUAGGAUGCUUCAUCAUUUUUGCAGCAACAUGCAAACCCUGCUCGAUUAUCCAGUUAUUUGCAGUACUGAUCCCUAGGAUUCACAGCCUUUAUAAUGUGACUAAAAGAAAGAUGAAAAAAAUACCUUAUUUGUAGUCUAUGGGACUCAUAGGGAAAGAGGCCAGGCUUAUUCAUAUUCUGUUUAAGUACUGCUAUAUUCUGGACGUCUUUUCUGACCCUUGUCUUUUCUCUUCAUUCUUGCUCCAGCCUGGAUUGGGUUUCCCUCAGUGGUCCGUAAACCUGUAUACCUCGCCAUCAUUUUACAUGUCACACUGUUUUCUAAGUCUCUGUUCAUGUGACUGUCUUACUGACCAGCUUAAAUCCAUUACUGCCAGGGACUGUGUUCCUAAUUAUAUUGAGUUCUAG
rnacentral:lncRNA from 1 species